rnacentral:tRNA from 1 species
GAGCCCGUAGCUCAGUCGGUAGAGCACGUGACUUUUAAUCAUGGGGUCCCGGGUUCGAGUCCCGGCGGGCUCGCCA